CAAACACCAGUUCCUAUAUGAUCACCAAAGUUAAGCAGCAUCAAACCUGGUUAGUACUGAGAUAGGUGACUGCUUGGAAAUGCCAGGACCUG